UUUCUUAAAAGGCAAACUUAUUGAAAAAUAAGGACGCAAAGCCAAGGACCUAAUGAGAACAAGUAUUGGUAGACAAGUUCUUUAUGGUAGCCGGUUGCAGAA
rnacentral:ncRNA from 1 species